ensembl:lncRNA
CGUAGAUGGGGUUGGAGGACGUGUAGAUGGGGUUGGAGGAUUGUAGAUGGGGUUGGAGGAAGUGUAGAUGGGGUUGUAGAACGUGUAAAUGUGUAGAUGGGGUUGGAGGAUGUGUAGAUGGGGCUGUAGGAUAUGUAGAUGGGGUUGUAGGAUGUGUAGAUGGGGUUGGAGGAUGUGUAGAUGGGGUUGGAGGAUGUGUAGAUGGGGUUGGAGGAUGUGUAGAUGGGGUUGGAGGAUGUGUAGAUGGGGUUGGAGGACGUGUAGAUGGGGUUGGAGGAUGUGUAGAUCGGGUUGGAGGACGUGUAGAUGGGGUUGGAGGAUGUGUAGAUGGGUUGGAGGAUGUGUAGAUGGGGGGUUGGAGGACGUGUAGAUGGGGCUGGAGAAUGUGUAGAUGGGGUUGUAGGAUGUGUAGAUGGGGUUGUAGGACGAUGGGGUUGUAGAUGUGUAGAUGGGGUUGGAGGAUGUGUAGAUGGGGUUGGAGGAUGUGCAGAUGGGGUUGGAGAAUUUGUAGAUGGGGUUGUAGGAUGUGUAGAUGGGGUUGUAGGAUGUGUAGAUGGGGUUGUAGGACGUGUAGAUGUGUAGAUGGGGUUGGAGGAUGUGUAGAUGGGGUCGGAGGACAUGUAGAUGGGUUGGAGAAUGUGUAGAUGGGGUUGUAGGACAUGUAGAUGGGGUUGGAGGACGUGUAGAUGGGGUUGGAGGACGUGUAGAUGGGGUUGGAGGACGUGUAGAUGGGGUUGGAGGACGUGUAGAUGGGGUUGGAGGACGUGUAGAUGGGGUUGGAGGACGUGUAGAUGGGGCUGGAGGACGUGUAGAUGGGGUUGGAGGACGUGUAGAUGGGGUUGGAGGAUG